rnacentral:rRNA from 1 species
GAUGAACGCUGGCGGCGUGCCUAAUACAUGCAAGUCGAGCGAACAGACGAGGAGCUUGCUCCUCUGACGUUAGCGGCGGACGGGUGAAUAACACGUGGAUAACCUACCUAUAAGACUGGGAUAACUUCGGGAAACCGGAGCUAAUACCGGAUAAUAUAUUGAACCGCAUGGUUCAAUAGUGAAAGACGGUUUUGCUGUCACUUAUAGAUGGAUCCGCGCCGCAUUAGCUAGUUGGUAAGGUAACGGCUUACCAAGGCAACGAUGCGUAGCCGACCUGAGAGUGUGAUCGGCCACACUGGAACUGAGACACGGUCCAGACUCCUACGGGAGGCAGCAGUAGGGAAUCUUCCGCAAUGGGCGAAAGCCUGACGGAGCAACGCCGCGUGAGUGAUGAAGGUCUUCGGAUCGUAAAACUCUGUUAUUAGGGAAGAACAAAUGUGUAAGUAACUAUGCACGUCUUGACGGUACCUAAUCAGAAAGCCACGGCUAACUACGUG